GGGUUGUGAGGUUAAGCGACUAAGCGUACACGGUGGAUGCCCUGGCAGUCAGAGGCGAUGAAGGACGUGCUAAUCUGCGAAAAGCGCCGGCGAGGUGAUAUGAACCCUUGACCCGGCGAUGUCCGAAUGGGGAAACCCAGUGUGAUUCGUCACACUAUCGUUAACUGAAUACAUAGGUUAACGAGGCGAACCGGGGGAACUGAAACAUCUAAGUACCCCGAGGAAAAGAAAUCAACCGAGAUUCCCCCAGUAGCGGCGAGCGAACGGGGAGCAGCCCGGAGUCUGAAUCAGCUUGUGUGUUAGUGGAACGGUCUGGAAAGUCCGACGGUACAGGGUGAUAGUCCCGUACACGAAAGCACACUUGCUGUGAACUCGAAGAGUAGGGCGGGACACGUGGUAUCCUGUCUGAAUAUGGGGGGACCAUCCUCCAAGGCUAAAUACUCCUGACUGACCGAUAGUGAACCAGUACCGUGAGGGAAAGGCGAAAAGAACCCCGGCGAGGGGAGUGAAAAAGAACCUGAAACCGUGUACGUACAAGCAGUGGGAGCACCUUCGUGGUGUGACUGCGUACCUUUUGUAUAAUGGGUCAGCGACUUAUAUUCUGUAGCAAGGUUAACCGUAUAGGGGAGCCGAAGGGAAACCGAGUCUUAACUGGGCGUUAAGUUGCAGGGUAUAGACCCGAAACCCGGUGAUCUAGCCAUGGGCAGGUUGAAGGUUGGGUAACACUAACUGGAGGACCGAACCGACUAAUGUUGAAAAAUUAGCGGAUGACCUGUGGCUGGGGGUGAAAGGCCAAUCAAACCGGGAGAUAGCUGGUUCUCCCCGAAAGCUAUUUAGGUAGCGCCUCGUGAACUCAUCUUCGGGGGUAGAGCACUGUUUCGGCUAGGGGGCCAUCCCGGCUUACCAACCCGAUGCAAACUACGAAUACCGAAGAAUGUUAUCACGGGAGACACACGGCGGGUGCUAACGUCCGUCGUGAAGAGGGAAACAACCCAGACCGCCAGCUAAGGUCCCAAAGUCAUGGUUAAGUGGGAAACGAUGUGGGAAGGCACAGACAGCCAGGAUGUUGGCUUAGAAGCAGCCAUCAUUUAAAGAAAGCGUAAUAGCUCACUGGUCGAGUCGGCCUGCGCGGAAGAUGUAACGGGGCUAAACCAUGCACCGAAGCUGCGGCAGCGACACUAUGUGUUGUUGGGUAGGGGAGCGUUCUGUAAGCCGUUGAAGGUGUGCUGUGAGGCAUGCUGGAGGUAUCAGAAGUGCGAAUGCUGACAUAAGUAACGAUAAAGCGGGUGAAAAGCCCGCUCGCCGGAAGACCAAGGGUUCCUGUCCAACGUUAAUCGGGGCAGGGUGAGUCGACCCCUAAGGCGAGGCCGAAAGGCGUAGUCGAUGGGAAACAGGUUAAUAUUCCUGUACUUGGUGUUACUGCGAAGGGGGGACGGAGAAGGCUAUGUCAGCCGGGCGACGGUUGUCCCGGUUUAAGCAUGUAGGCGGAGGUUCCAGGUAAAUCCGGUACCUUAUUAACGCUGAGGUGUGAUGACGAGGCACUACGGUGCUGAAGUGAUAAAUGCCCUGCUUCCAGGAAAAGCCUCUAAGCAUCAGGUAACACGAAAUCGUACCCCAAACCGACACAGGUGGUCAGGUAGAGAAUACCAAGGCGCUUGAGAGAACUCGGGUGAAGGAACUAGGCAAAAUGGUGCCGUAACUUCGGGAGAAGGCACGCUGAUGUGUAGGUGAAGCCCCUGCGGGCGGAGCUGAAAUCAGUCGAAGAUACCAGCUGGCUGCAACUGUUUAUUAAAAACACAGCACUGUGCAAACACGAAAGUGGACGUAUACGGUGUGACGCCUGCCCGGUGCCGGAAGGUUAAUUGAUGGGGUUAGCUGUAAGGCGAAGCUCUUGAUCGAAGCCCCGGUAAACGGCGGCCGUAACUAUAACGGUCCUAAGGUAGCGAAAUUCCUUGUCGGGUAAGUUCCGACCUGCACGAAUGGCGUAAUGAUGGCCAGGCUGUCUCCACCCGAGACUCAGUGAAAUUGAACUCGCUGUGAAGAUGCAGUGUACCCGCGGCAAGACGGAAAGACCCCGUGAACCUUUACUAUAGCUUGACACUGAACACUGGUCCUUGAUGUGUAGGAUAGGUGGGAGGCUUUGAAGCGUGGACGCCAGUCUGCGUGGAGCCGCCCUUGAAAUACCACCCUUUAAUGGCUGGUGUUCUAACGUAGACCCGUAAUCCGGGUUGCGGACAGUGUCUGGUGGGUAGUUUGACUGGGGCGGUCUCCUCCCAAAGAGUAACGGAGGAGCACGAAGGUUGGCUAAUCCUGGUCGGACAUCAGGAGGUUAGUGCAAUGGCAUAAGCCAGCUUGACUGCGAGCGUGACGGCGCGAGCAGGUGCGAAAGCAGGUCAUAGUGAUCCGGUGGUUCUGAAUGGAAGGGCCAUCGCUCAACGGAUAAAAGGUACUCCGGGGAUAACAGGCUGAUACCGCCCAAGAGUUCAUAUCGACGGCGGUGUUUGGCACCUCGAUGUCGGCUCAUCACAUCCUGGGGCUGAAGUAGGUCCCAAGGGUAUGGCUGUUCGCCAUUUAAAGUGGUACGCGAGCUGGGUUUAGAACGUCGUGAGACAGUUCGGUCCCUAUCUGCCGUGGGCGCUGGAGAAUUGAGGGGGGCUGCUCCUAGUACGAGAGGACCGGAGUGGACGCAUCACUGGUGUUCGGGUUGUCAUGCCAAUGGCACUGCCCGGUAGCUAAAUGCGGAAGAGAUAAGUGCUGAAAGCAUCUAAGCACGAAACUUGCCCCGAGAUGAGUUCUCCCUGAGACUUUAAGUCUCCUGAAGGAACGUUGAAGACGACGACGUUGAUAGGUCGGGUGUGUAAGCGCAGCGAUGCGUUGAGCUAACCGAUACUAAUGAACCGUGAGGCUUAACCUUACAACGCCGAAGGUGUUU
rnacentral:rRNA from 2 species